UAGAUUGGUGUAAAGCAUUGAGGUUUUUGCCAUUACUUUCAAUGGCAAAAACUGUAAUUACCUUUGCACCAACCUAAUA
rnacentral:miRNA from 10 species